rnacentral:misc_RNA from 1 species
AAAUGCGAUAAGUAAUGUGAAUUGCAGAAUUCAGUGAAUCAUCGAAUCUUUGAACGCACAUUGCGCCCCCUGGUAUUCCGGGGGGCAUGCCUGUUCGAGCGUCAUUUCACCACUCAAGCCUCGCUUGGUAUUGGGCGACGCGGUCCGCCGCGCGCCUCAAAUCGACCGGCUGGGUCUUCUGUCCCCUCAGCGUUGUGGAAACUAUUCGCUAAAGGGUGCCACGGGAGGCCACGCCGCAAAACAAACCCAUUUCUAAGGUUGACCUCGGAUCAGGUAGGGAUACCCGCUGAACUUAAGC